CAAAGGCUUGGUCCUAACUUUACUAUCAGCUCUAGCCCAAUUUAUACAUGCAAGCAUCCGCAUCCCUGUGAGAAUGCCCUUAACCCCUCUGCCCGAGGACAAGGAGCAGGCAUCAGGCACGCACACCCAGCCCAAGACGCCUUGCUAGGCCACGCCCCCAAGGGAAUUCAGCAGUAACAAACAUUAAGCUAUGAGUGCAAGCUCGACUUAGUUAGGGCUCCUUUUUUAAGGGUCGGUAAAAUUCGUGCCAGCCACCGCGGUUAUACGGAAGACCCUAGUUGAUGGCCACGGCGUAAAGGGUGGUUAAGAGCAUAUUAAAUAAAGCUGAAGGCCCUCUAAGUUGUUAUACACACCCCGAGAGCACGAAACCCUUACACGAAAGUAGCUUUAAAUUAGCCCUGAAUCCACGAAAGCUAAGAAACAAACUGGGAUUAGAUACCCCACUAUGCUUAGCCUUAAACCUAGAUGUGUCCUUACACACACAUCCGCCCGGGCACUACGAGCACAGCUUAAAACCCAAAGGACUUGGCGGUGUCUCAGACCCACCUAGAGGAGCCUGUUCUAGAACCGACAAUCCCCGUUAAACCUCACCCCUUCUUGUUUUCCCCGCCUAUAUACCACCGUCGCCAGCUUACCCUGUGAAGGUAAAAUAGUAAGCAAAAUGGGCUCACCCCAGAACGUCAGGUCGAGGUGUAGCGUAUGAAGUGGGAAGAAAUGGGCUACAUUUUCUACAUAUAGAAUAUUACGGACAGCACUUUGAAAUAAGAGCUUAAAGGUGGAUUCAGUAGUAAAAAGAAAAUAGAGAAUCCUUUUGAAUUAGGCUCUGAGACGCGCACACACCGCCCGUCACUCUCCCCCCCCAACCCUAUCAUCCAAAUUACUAAUAACUCAGCACUAAACGCGGGGAGGCAAGUCGUAACAUGGUAAGUGUACCGGAAGGUGCACUUGGAGUAAC
rnacentral:ncRNA from 1 species